GGUCCUGGUCCUGGUCCUGGUCCUGCUCCUGCUCCUGCUCCUGGUCCUGGUCCUGGUCCUGCUCCUGGUCCUGGUC
ensembl:miRNA